rnacentral:piRNA from 1 species
UAAUAGAGGAUUUUUCCUAAGGCCUGGA